UCCCUGAUGGCUCAGCAGGUAAAGCAUCUGCCUUCCAAGGCAGGAUGCACAGGUUUGAUCCCUGGUCAGGAAG
rnacentral:tRNA from 1 species